YUUUGACCUCGGAUCAGGUAGGGAUACCCGCUGAACUUAAGCAUAUCAAUAAGCGGAGGAAAAGAAACCAACAGGGAUUGCCCUAGUAACGGCGAGUGAAGCGGCAACAGCUCAAAUUUGAAAUCUGGCUC
rnacentral:rRNA from 1 species